AUGGUACGGUCAUCUCGAGGCAAAGUUGGGCCAGCGGCCGUGCUGGGGAGAGUUUCAAACACUCAUCUCUAACCACUUUGGACCGCCGACACACGCCAACCCCUUUGGCGAGCUGAUCUUCACCGCCGCUCCGGCACCGUGGCGGAGUACUCCAAGCGUUUCCUUGAGAAUCUCUCUCGUGUGCACCCAAUUGCCGACGCCGAGGAGCGUGAUAUCUUCACCAACAAUGGCGAGCCCAUGAAAACUCAGGUCGAGAUGCUUAAACCUGCGACUCUAGACGUGGCUAUGGACUUGGCAAUUUUGUUUGAGCACCUCAACACUGUCACCGGAGCCACGGCCGCCGCUGCUCGGCCGAGCCGCCAAAUUCGCCCCAUGGCCAACCCUGGUGCGGUAUUGUCUGAAUCCUCCAGCUCCACGCCGCCGCUCGUAUUCAAAAAGCUCACCCUGGCUGAGAUGGACGACCGGCGCGCCAAAGGCCUUUGCUUCAACUGCGACGAGAAGUUCAUUCGGGGCCAUCGCUGCAAACGUCUUUUCUACAUCCAGUCAGCAGACGAAGAAGAAUAGCCAUUAGCGGAUUUCCAGGAGGCCACAAUCUCGCUUCUGGCUGUCACAGGGAUUCCCACUAGCGACACCACGCAGGUCGCUCUUCGCGUCGGGGAUCGUGACCUCGUCGCCUUGCUUGAUUCCGGUAGCACUCAUAACUUCAUCCACGAGGAGCUGGCCAAUGUCGUGGGGCUGCCCUUCUCCUCCGGCCGCUGCCUC
rnacentral:rRNA from 1 species